rnacentral:lncRNA from 1 species
AUUCGGCAAUUUCCCUUUUCAUACCUAGCCAAUAAUAAAUGGGUCGAAUGCUAUUAUACAUCUUGCUACUUCAUGGAUGCAUUGCAUUAUGUGCUUCAUCAAGGAUUGCCUUCUUUAAUUCCAUAUUAUUCGGCACAUACAUUCUACUCUCUUGCAUAAGCAUACCAUCAGAUUCUCGGAUUCUGAAGUCUUUCUUCUUCCCUUGAUUCCUUGCUUGAAUUAUUUCCUGGGUCUCUUCAUUAUUCAUCUGGGCCUCGCGCACACGAUAAAUUAAAAUUGGCCUAACUUGAAAAUUAGCAAGCAAGGCUUCCUCUCGAUCUUCCACUCCUAACUCCACUCUAGUGAACCUCAAAUCCACAAGAAGAGGAACAUGACAAUCAUAGAUGGCAUUAAGUCUAGCUG